GCUGCUCGGUCUUUCAGAGCGCCCAGCUUGGCGCCAGUCCAUCGAAGCAUCUUUGUGGUCGUUUGGGAACGACCGAAUCUGGUGGCGAACAGACCCCCAACUGGCCCACGCCCUGGAGAGCUCGAGAAGGUGACAAUAAUGACCACAGCCCCUGCUUAUGAUACUUGGUACGGGCUCGGCGCUAAACGCUUUAUUUACGUUGUGCCAUUUAUUCGUCACCACAGGCCUAAGAGGAAGACAGUAUAACUCUCAUGCUGAUCAGCUGGUGCAGAUUCGUGCAGCGCACAACUCAGGCUUAGCACGAUGGGUUCACGAAAAGAGUGGACACUUGGGAGAACAAACUUCAUACAGAUAUUCCUGCUGCGCUCGCUAUGCUAUACUGCAACUCCAUGUCUGCUGCAGACCUACAUGCCAACUAAUGUCUCUGUAGGACAACCCUUGACCGUGCACUGCUGGACCAGCUGCUCUAUAGUGGGACCUGUAACCUGGACUAUGAAUGGUCGAAAAAUUUGGUCUCAGAAACAUCAAACAACUUCUCAGUAUAAGCCUAUAUCUGAUCAAUCACACAGAACUAAUUAUAAUUUCUCUAUUACCCUGACUUCUGCUGCCCUCUGUGAUGGGGGCUGGUCUGGACUUCUACAAGCUAAUUUGUUUAGGCCUAGGUGUUACCUUAUCUAAUGUUAUCUUUGAUGCUGUACAUGAUUUGCAAAUCAAGUUAAUAAUAUUUCAUAUUCUAAGGGGUUAUUUGAUUGGUUACCUUGGGGUUUAGGCCCUUUGUUGUGAGAUAGUUUUGUAAUUAUUGUAGUCAUUGGAUUUUGUGGUCUUGGGUGUGCCUUAUGUACUUCUGUAUGAAGUUCAUUGUCUGUGCAUAUGGUGUCUUAUGGUUAAUGGAGACGGCCACGGCCGAAAAUGUCUUGACAUGGGUACAGCCAUGUUUGGCCGUUCCAUUGACCUAUAGCCACCAGCACACAAAAAAAUAUAAAGCUGCUUUCUGUUGAUGGGAACUGGCCUUUCUCCCGGGAAUUGGCCCUUCUCCCAUGGAGAGAGUUGCAAGUUGUAACAUUUCAAGGCUCUUUGGGCAUCGUAGCUUGGGACGGACUGGCCAUCUGUGCCGGACUGGGAUGAUAACCAGGGAAAACAAUGCACGUACACAACUGCUGGGCUGGGACAAUAGCCAGGAUGCUCAGUGCACGUACGCCACUGAUAACCAUUUGUGCAUGGGAACACUAAAUGCUUGCUCUGCAAACUCUGUAACUGCUUACUCUGGAAAUUACUGAUGCUAUAUAAACUGCUGGAAACCGAGGCCUGGUGAGAGUCUCACCUGUGGAGGGGAUGCCUUGCCCAGGACCUCUGAUGAUCCGAUUCCCGCCCAGCUGUGUCAAUUGAAGGGACUCUCCCUGGCAGUGGGGCGUGGAUGUUGUGAGUAACUGAUCUGAUGUGUUCUCUUUUUGGUCAAGCUGGUGUUUCUCUUUCCAGUUGAUUUGUGUCAUUUCCCUUCAGUCGAUUUGGGUGUUUCCCUUUCCAAAAUGGAUCUGAUGUUUUUCCCUCUUAUUAUAUGAUCUAUUCGAAUCUGCUGCUAUCUCAGUCGAUGCAGGUGUUUCCCUUUCUGAUCAAGCUGAUGUUUUUCCCUCUUAUUAAUUGACCUAUUCGAUCUGUUUGUGGACUAUCACCUUUA